UCGAAGCGCGCGGAAGUUCUUGUACCCUGUUUAAUCCUGCAGUCGAAGCGUGUGUUCUACACGGUAGUGUGAUGCAAUUGUGCAGUGGUGUAUCCAAGUGAAUCUGGUUCCGGUGUUUGUGGCUGAUUGGAGUGAGUUGUUCUUCUGAAGCAUCUGAAGCAGCAUCAUCAGCGACAGUGGGGAUUAGAAUCGGUUAGCGGUUUUUUUUUCUGGUUCUGCUUGCCUUCUUUCGCGGUUUUACCGUAUUUGAUUGAUGGAAAUCUGCAACAGAAGUGAUAAUAGUGAGACUUUUGUGUUGUGGGAUUAAGGUCCUUGUGAGAAGAUUUGUUUGGAAAGGGAUACGUGAGGCGUGAUUUUUUAUUUGGAGUCGCAGCUGAAGUGGAUGGCUUAAAGUGGAUAACAGCGUUUUUUUUUCGGAGCAGCAGUAAAGCAUUUGGAGAAGCGACCUGCGGAUUACAACCAAAUCGGAUUGCGAAACCAGUGUGUGGAUUUUGCUUUUUUUUCUUGUUCCUAUCCUUUGCCUCUUAUGUCCCCGUUUAUAUUGUCAAGAAGGUGAUUUUGGGCUGACUGCUUCGCGAAUGUAUGGGCGUUGAAUGCAAUUUUCGGCAACUGGCGGGAAGAUUCGCGAAGCGUAACGUUUUGAUUUCCGGAAGCCCCAUUGAGUGAGUGAGCAGUAUCAAGUAUAGAGAAGACAGGGUGAAAGCCAAAUAUUUCAAGUUUAACUUGGGAAGAAAGAGGGUCACCGGAGGGUUUCCCCUGGGUUGAAAUAUUCUCAUUCGAAAAUUGUGAAUUGCACGGGUCCGAUAAAUUUGCUGUGGAAAGGUAGCUAAAAUAGAUUAAUUGUGCUGAAUUGCAAUAAAAAAAAGUUGGGCUCGCCAGAGGAAAACGGCAAAGUUAAAUUACCGUAGAAAGUGUGUCGAAAGCCGAUUGCAGAGAAGAACAACUUGAGGAAUACCUCUGGAGGGUUUGCUUCCUGUUGUGUGUACAUCUCUGAAGUAACAAUCCCAAAGACGGAUUCAUAUUUCUUGUUCUGCUGUUCCGGUGUGAAUACAUUUAAGCCGGCUGUCUUGCUUCAAGAGUUCUUCGAAGUGUAAGAGUGGAUCAGAGCCAAAAAAAGGUUUCUUCCCUCAAUUGCUGUACCAGAUUUGUGCUCUCUUUACCUCUGGGUGUUGUGUAGUUAUUCUACCUUGGCUGGUUUCAAUCUUGGCUGCACCAUCUUUGGAAGAUUCAUUUCCACAAGUUUUACGAAAAGGGGCUGAGGUGUGGCAGCUGCUCUUGAGAGGCGUUUCGUACCCGAAGAAGAAGUUGAAUCAUCGCAUCAAGCCAGUGAGCUGUAAAGACAGAACAAAACUUUUCUUCAGUCUCGCUUUGCUGUAGAACUUCGUUUUGAAGUGUUUGGAAAGAUCUCGAUCGAGUUUACAAUCAACCCCCUCCGAAUAUCAGGACAAAUCCCGAUUUAUCAGGACAACUGGCACCUUUGGUAGCUGCUGUCAUGACUGCUGAGAAGAAGAAAAAAAAGAAAAAUAAAAUAAACAGAAAUCUCGUACGAAUUUUUGAUGCUGUUAUCAAAAAUUCGUGCGAAACUUCUGUUGAUCUCCCGCAAUGGACCAGGAAGCCGGCGCACCGUGGGCUGGACUCUGCAACUUAGACAAAGAGAUGCAUAAUAUUUCAGUGUCGCCGAAUGAAGCAUUUUUCUGUGCAGCCCGAGUUCCCCGACCGUGGGGACUACCUCGCUUGUAUAACUAUGGCUCUGCAGUGUGGAUUUCGGAACCAAUUGGCCAAUGUCUCAGCCCACUUCAUACACGCAUUGAAUAAUGGAUGAAGCUGAAUCAAAGAAUUAAAAAGGUUUCUGAAUGGAUUGAACGUAAGUUAAAAUAUAAAAAUAAAAUAUA